GAUGAACGCUAGCGGCAGGCCUAAUACAUGCAAGUCGAACGGAUAUAUGUUUUUCGGAAUAUAUAUUAGUGGCGCACGGGUGAGUAACACGUACAUAACUUGCCCUCAAGCGGGGGAUAGCCUUGGGAAACUGAGAGUAAUACCCCAUAGAAUUAUUGGACGGCAUCGUUUGAUAAUUAAAACUACGGUGCUUGGGGAUAGAUGUGCGUCUGAUUAGCUAGUUGGUGAGGUAACUGCUCACCAAGGCGACGAUCAGUAGGGGGCGUGAGAGCGUGGCCCCCCACACGGGUACUGAGACACGGACCCGACUCCUACGGGAGGCAGCAGUAAGGAAUAUUGGUCAAUGGAGGGAACUCUGAACCAGCCAUGCCGCGUGAAGGAUGACGGCCCUCUGGGUUGUAAACUUCUUUUGGAUGGGGCGAAAAAACGGGAUUUAUCCUGGACUGACGGUACCAUCAGAAUAAGCACCGGCUAACUCCGUGCCAGCAGCCGCGGU
rnacentral:rRNA from 1 species